UGUAAGCGUAUACCAAAGUUGUUGCAGUUAAAACACUCGUAGUCGGAAUUUGGCAGUUCCGGAUGUGUGCACGUCGUGUGCGCACUUCGCGGGGAUUGCUUUUGUGGUCUUGCGUAGGAUGAGGCACUUUUAUUAGUGAACGUCCUCACGCAACCACUUUUUACUGUGAGAAAAUCAGAGUGCUCAAAGCAGGCAUUUGCCGUGAAUGUAUUAGCAUGGAAUAAUAGAAUAGGACUUGGUUCUAUUUUGUUGGUUUGUUGGGACUGAGUAAUGAUUAAGAGGGACAGUUGGGGGCAUUUGUAUUUCGGUGCUAGAGGUGAAAUUCUUAGAUUACCGAAAGACAAACUGCUGCGAAAGCGUCUGCCAAGGAUGUUUUCAUUGA
rnacentral:rRNA from 1 species